GCGGUGUUGGUCUAGUGGUAUGAUUCUCGCUUAGGGCUCACCCUGAGAACAAGAAUGCGAGAGGUCCCCGGUUCAAUCCCGGGAUACCGCC